GUGGGGAAUUUUGGACAAUGGGCGAAAGCCUGAUCCAGCAAUGCCGCGUGUGUGAAGAAGGCCUUCGGGUUGUAAAGCCCUUUUGUUGGGAAAGAAAUCCUGUCGGUUAAUACCUGGCGGGGAUGACGGUACCCAAAGAAUAAGCACCGGCUAACUUCGUGCCAGCAGCCGCGGUAAUACGAAGGGUGCAAGCGUUACUCGGAAUUACUGGGCGUAAAGCGUGCGUAGGUGGUGGUUUAAGUCCGUUGUGAAAGCCCUGGGCUCAACCUGGGAAUUGAAGUGGAUACUGGAUCACUAGAGUGUGGUAGAGGGAUGCGGAAUUUCUGGUGUAGCAGUGAAAUGCGUAGAGAUCAGAAGGAACAUCCGUGGCGAAGGCGGCAUCCUGGGCCAACACUGACACUGAGGCACGAAAGCGUGGGGAGCAAACAGGAUUAGAUACCCCUGUAGUCC
rnacentral:rRNA from 1 species